GAUGAAGAACGUAGCGAAAUGCGAUAAGUAAUGUGAAUUGCAGAAUUCAGUGAAUCAUCGAAUCUUUGAACGCACAUUGCGCCCCCUGGUAUUCCGGGGGGCAUGCCUGUCCGAGCGUCAUUACAACCCUCAAGCUCAGCUUGGUGUUGGGCCCCGCCGCCCCGGCGGGCCCUAAAGUCAGUGGCGGUGCCGUCCGGCUCCGAGCGUAGUAAUUCUUCUCGCUCUGGAGGCCCGGUCGUGUGCUCGCCAGCAACCCCCAAUUUUUUUCAGGUUGACCUCGGAUCAGGUAGGGAUACCCGCUGAACUUAAGCAUAUCAAUAGCGGAGGA
rnacentral:misc_RNA from 1 species